rnacentral:sRNA from 1 species
AAGGAUGAUUACUGAACUGCUGACACGAGCUGUUGCUGGUCUCCAAACGGGGGCAUGUGCACGCUCUGUUUGUGCAUCCACUCACACCUGUGCACCUUCUGUAGUUCUGUGGCCUGGGGGGCUUGCCCUCCUGCCGUGGUUCUGCGUCUUUACGCUCACACCGUGAUAAAGUCUAAUGGAAUGCAUGCCGCGUUUAACGCAAUACAAUACAACUUUCAGCAACGGAUCUCUUGGCUCUCGCAUCGAUGAAGAACGCAGCGAAAUGCGAUAAGUAAUGUGAAUWGCAGAAUUCAGUGAAUCAUCGAAUCUUUGAACGCACCUUGCGCCCUUUGGCUAUUCCGAAGGGCAUGCCUGUUUGAGUAUCAUGAACAUCUCAACUCCUCGCGGCUCGCCCGUGAUGAGCUUGGACUUUGGGGGUCUUGCUGGCCUGUGGGUCAGCUCCUCUCAAAUGAAUCAGCUUGCCAGUGUUUGGUGGCGUCACAGGUGUGAUAACUAUCUACGCUUGUGGUUUUCCACCGGGUAACCUCCAGCAAUGGGGGUUCGCUGGAGCUCACAAACGUCUCUCCUCGGUGAGGACAGCUCUUUGAACGUUUGAUCUCAAAUCAGGUAGGACUACCCGCUGAACUUAAGCAUAUCAAUAAGCGGAGGAAA